CGUGUUCACAGUGGACCUUGAUUUCAUGUGGACACAAUUAAGGCACGCGGUGAAUGCCA
rnacentral:pre_miRNA from 1 species